AAUAUUGCGUGAAUAGUAGCAAUGAUGAUGUGGCAGCCAUGUAUUAGUUCGAUUUUAUCAAGUGGUUAUUCUCAAAUGUUCAAGUCUUGGACAAAAAUUAAUUUGGAUUGGUGGAAUUUGUUUUAGGAGGGAAAAUAAGUCUUGGAGACUUUUUCAAUUUUAAAGACUUGACUUUUUCUUGUACUUCUCCUUAAAACAUG
rnacentral:lncRNA from 1 species